rnacentral:rRNA from 2 species
GGGUUGUGAGGUUAAGCGACCAAGCGUACACGGUGGAUGCCCUGGCAGUCAGAGGCGAUGAAGGACGUGCUAAUCUGCGAAAAGCGCCGGUAAGGUGAUAUGAACCGUUAUAACCGGCGAUGUCCGAAUGGGGAAACCCAGUGUGACUCGUCACACUAUCAUUAACUGAAUCCAUAGGUUAAUGAGGCGAACCGGGGGAACUGAAACAUCUAAGUACCCCGAGGAAAAGAAAUCAACCGAGAUUCCCCCAGUAGCGGCGAGCGAACGGGGAGGAGCCCAGAGCCUGAAUCAGCAUGUGUGUUAGUGGAAGCGUCUGGAAAGGCGCGCGAUACAGGGUGACAGCCCCGUACACAAAAGCGCAUGUGCUGUGAGCUCGAUGAGUAGGGCGGGACACGUGGUAUCCUGUCUGAAUAUGGGGGGACCAUCCUCCAAGGCUAAAUACUCCUGACUGACCGAUAGUGAACCAGUACCGUGAGGGAAAGGCGAAAAGAACCCCGGCGAGGGGAGUGAAAAAGAACCUGAAACCGUGUACGUACAAGCAGUGGGAGCCUCUCUUUAUGGGGGGUGACUGCGUACCUUUUGUAUAAUGGGUCAGCGACUUAUAUUCUGUAGCAAGGUUAACCGUAUAGGGGAGCCGCAGGGAAACCGAGUCUUAAUUGGGCGUUAAGUUGCAGGGUAUAGACCCGAAACCCGGUGAUCUAGCCAUGGGCAGGUUGAAGGUUGGGUAACACUAACUGGAGGACCGAACCGACUAAUGUUGAAAAAUUAGCGGAUGACCUGUGGCUGGGGGUGAAAGGCCAAUCAAACCGGGAGAUAGCUGGUUCUCCCCGAAAGCUAUUUAGGUAGCGCCUCGUGAACUCAUCUCCGGGGGUAGAGCACUGUUUCGGCCAGGGGGCCAUCCCGGCUUACCAACCCGAUGCAAACUGCGAAUACCGGAGAAUGUUAUCACGGGAGACACACGGCGGGUGCUAACGUCCGUCGUGAAGAGGGAAACAACCCAGACCGCCAGCUAAGGUCCCAAAGUCAUGGUUAAGUGGGAAACGAUGUGGGAAGGCCCAGACAGCCAGGAUGUUGGCUUAGAAGCAGCCAUCAUUUAAAGAAAGCGUAAUAGCUCACUGGUCGAGUCGGCCUGCGCGGAAGAUGUAACGGGGCUAAACCAUGCACCGAAGCUGCGGCAGCGAACGUAUCACUUAAAGCGAUUCAGCGGAUGACGAUUGACGGAGCGAAGCGACGUCAAAGCGUUUUACAACGUCGAGUCGGUUUAAGGAUACGUUCGUUGGGUAGGGGAGCGUUCUGUAAGCCUGCGAAGGUGUGUCGUGAGGCAUGCUGGAGGUAUCAGAAGUGCGAAUGCUGACAUAAGUAACGAUAAUGCGGGUGAAAAACCCGCACGCCGGAAGACCAAGGGUUCCUGUCCAACGUUAAUCGGGGCAGGGUGAGUCGACCCCUAAGGCGAGGCCGAAAGGCGUAGUCGAUGGGAAACAGGUUAAUAUUCCUGUACCUGGUGUUACUGCGAAGGGGGGACGGAGAAGGCUAUGUUGGCCGGGCGACGGUUGUCCCGGUUUAAGCGUGUAGGUGUGUGUUCCAGGAAAAUCCGGUUCACUUUAACACUGAGGCGUGACGACGAGGCACUACGGUGCUGAAGCAACAAAUGCCCUGCUUCCAGGAAAAGCCUCUAAGCCUCAGGUAACAUCAGAUCGUACCCGAAACCGACACAGGUGGUCAGGUAGAGAAUACCAAGGCGCUUGAGAGAACCCGGGUGAAGGAACUAGGCAAAAUGGUGCCGUAACUUCGGGAGAAGGCACGCUGACACGUAGGUGAAGCGGUUUACCCGUGGAGCUGAAGUCAGUCGAAGAUACCAGCUGGCUGCAACUGUUUAUUAAAAACACAGCACUGUGCAAACACGAAAGUGGACGUAUACGGUGUGACGCCUGCCCGGUGCCGGAAGGUUAAUUGAUGGGGUCAGCGCAAGCGAAGCUCCUGAUCGAAGCCCCGGUAAACGGCGGCCGUAACUAUAACGGUCCUAAGGUAGCGAAAUUCCUUGUCGGGUAAGUUCCGACCUGCACGAAUGGCGUAAUGAUGGCCAGGCUGUCUCCACCCGGGACUCAGUGAAAUUGAACUCGCUGUGAAGAUGCAGUGUACCCGCGGCAAGACGGAAAGACCCCGUGAACCUUUACUAUAGCUUGACACUGAACACUGGUCCUUGAUGUGCAGGAUAGGUGGGAGGCUUUGAAGUGUGGACGCCAGUCUGCAUGGAGCCGUCCUUGAAAUACCACCCUUUAAUGGCUGGUGUUCUAACGUAGACCCGUGAACCGGGUUGCGGACAGUGUCUGGUGGGUAGUUUGACUGGGGCGGUCUCCUCCUAAAGCGUAACGGAGGAGCACGAAGGUUGGCUAAUCCUGGUCGGACAUCAGGAGGUUAGUGCAAUGGCAUAAGCCAGCUUGACUGCGAGCGUGACGGCGCGAGCAGGUGCGAAAGCAGGUCAUAGUGAUCCGGUGGUUCUGAAUGGAAGGGCCAUCGCUCAACGGAUAAAAGGUACUCCGGGGAUAACAGGCUGAUACCGCCCAAGAGUUCAUAUCGACGGCGGUGUUUGGCACCUCGAUGUCGGCUCAUCACAUCCUGGGGCUGAAGUAGGUCCCAAGGGUAUGGCUGUUCGCCAUUUAAAGUGGUACGCGAGCUGGGUUUAGAACGUCGUGAGACAGUUCGGUCCCUAUCUGCCGUGGGCGCUGGAGAACUGAGGGGGGCUGCUCCUAGUACGAGAGGACCGGAGUGGACGCAUCACUGGUGUUCGGGUUGUCAUGCCAAUGGCACUGCCCGGUAGCUAAAUGCGGAAGAGAUAAGUGCUGAAAGCAUCUAAGCACGAAACUUGCCCCGAGAUGAGUUCUCCCUGAGACUACAAGUCUCCUGAAGGAACGUUGAAGACGACGACGUUGAUAGGCCGGGUGUGUAAGCGCAGCGAUGCGUUGAGCUAACCGGUACUAAUGAACCGUGAGGCUUAACCUUACAACGCCGAAG